CGUUAAUACCGCUUAUUAUCCUCGCAUAGCGAGCACAAGGGAAACAUCAGCGAGCCGUUAUUUCACAUUUCAUCCACUCGCACAAACAUGGAUCAAAAUAAAUACGAGGUGUUUGCAAAAGGUCGUAAGGACACAAAUAUAUAGCAACUGAGGAAAUCCUUUCCUUUAAACUACUGUUUAGAAUUUGAAGUGUUGGCAGUACUCGAUCAUACCCGGUCGAUGGUUGACAAUUCCGAAUACAGUGUCACAUUUAACACGAGUGAAGAUGCCUCCAUCCGAAAUCAAUAGAGGUGUGCUUCGCCAACGCAUUUUGUAUUAUUAUGAGUGACACAAGAGUACUGAAAAAAACUACAAGUCUGAUUUGUGAGGAGUAUAGAAAGAAUGUACUGCCCCUUAGUGUCUGUAAAACGUGGUUUAAAAAGUGUGAGUCGGGUGUUGAUAAAGCUUACUUAUACUCACCGAAUGCAACUACAAGCGAAGUGUGUUGAAAUUUGAUUAUUUCCCUUUACAAAUGUGCGAGAUAAGGUAUAAAUAAAUGUGUUCAGUAUUUCAAUAAACAAAAGAAAAUGUAUAUAUAUAUAAUUACGAAAAAUAUGUAACAAUACAUUCAAACAGUUUCAAAUAAUUAUAUAUCAAUCACAUACAAAUAAGCAAGAAAAUAUACGUGUGAACCUCAAAGUCACAAGAAAAGAAGAUACAAAAUUAGCCAAUGCUUUGUUCAAGCAAAGAAUCUCAUAAAUCAAAUUAAAGAAAAAUUUCUACUCAUCCGAUUGAUUCCGUGACUUCCAGAUAUCAGUCGCCUUUUUCGUUUUUCAGAUCUGUGCACAAAUCCGCCUUAUUCUAUAUCGGUAAACUAUUCGCCAGUAACUAUCCGCCAGUGGAUCCACUUAUUUGUUCGCUCGCUCAGUACGUUCGCUCGCUACAACGGUCGCGUGAGAAAAAGGGUCGAAUACAUCGCUACGCGUCUCGUCGUGCCGAUAUUUGUCUAUCGAUAUUUGAUGCCCGAAUCUUCCCGAGACAAUUGGGCAGAAUUAGCGCGAAGUUUAAACUAGUUUUCUCAACAAAGUGGAAGUAUUGUACAACAAGGACCGGUCCCAAUCACAACAGAAGAUCGCAGACAGGCUUGGACUUUCUAGAAUAACAAUAUGGAGACAUUUGAAAGAACUAAAAGAGAACGGACAGAUAGAAAGACAAAUUAAAACUAGAACCAAAGUGGAAGCAUUGUACAACGCGGAUCGGACCCAAACACACAAGACGAUCGCAGAGAGGCUUGGACUUCCUGAAAAAACAGUAUUGUAUCAUGUGAAAGCACUAAGAAAGAACGAGCUAGAGAUAGAAAGACAAAGUAGAAAUUAUAGAAGCGAAGUGGGAGAAUUGUACAACGCGGAACCGUCCGGAACACAACAGGUCGUAAACAGGCUUGGAAUGUCUGGCUCAACAGUAUCGUAUCAUGUGAAAGCAAUAGAAGAAAACCGGGAAAAAGAAACACAAGAUGAUGAGGAGUAUAUAGAUGUAUAGACGACCUCGGAUACAGAUGAAGACAAUAAUACUCUCGGUUGGUCGCGUACCUGACAAAGUGCUCACUUCAUAAGUACAGUGAGCGACUGCUUCCUUUUUACUCGGAGACUUGCGGCACUUGUCAGCAAUGGUUGAAUAAAUUAACAAACUGUUAGCGUAAUAUACUUUUUGUAACAUUUGGAAAUGUUAGAAGAAUUUACAUGUCUCUGCUAUUUAUUAUAAAUGUUUAAUUAAUGACAUAUAUUUUCUGACACUCUUAACUGUCGGUUUCUCAUGUAGUUCUUCGCAAAUAAACGUUUAAUAAUUAACGUGCUUUUAACAACGAAAAGCAAUAAAAGCGGACCGGCAGAAGGAAAGACAAGAUAAACAGAGCGAGUAAAAUAAAAUAAAAUCAUGUAAUAAGUUGCCUAGAAUUAAUGUGAGAGAUUUGCACAGUUGUUUUUUGUGCCGAAUUUUCCUAAGUCACUGAUUCACGUACACACAUAAAGGAAAAUAUAUCUGUAGUUUCGUAAAUAUUUCAUAUAAUAAUGUAUGUUUGCUGGCUUUUGAUAUACUUUAAGGUUGUAACAACUAUUAAUGAAGCAUUUAAAAUCAUAACAUACAUUAAAAUACAAACGCACUUACGCGAACUCACUAUUCAGGUUUGCUGUUAUAUUUUUAAAUUAAUCAACUAUUUUGUAUACCACUUUUGCACAUUUGUAACUUAUUUUUUGUUAUUUUGUUAAUUCAACUUUGAAAACUUGUAUAACUCUUAAUUUUUUACUUGCUUCACUGAUUCUAAACAAGUACGUUAUACACAUUGUAAUACAUCUUGCAAAACUAACAAAGAUAAUACUAAAGAUAAUAUUAACAAAAUUAUAUCCGCUGGCAUAUAUAUCGUCAUAUUUAUAUCAUGUACAUAUACCUUCGUUCUGGUUACUACGAUCUGAAACACGUUUGUCGCUAGUACUACUAUGUUUUACUAAACAACAUGUAAAUAAUUUUUUGUAUUUACAUAAUUGACUAUGAAGCUUCUUCUUUCUCUGUACAAAUAAAUCGUCGCACCUGCACUUUAAGAAA
rnacentral:lncRNA from 1 species